rnacentral:rRNA from 1 species
GCUAGCUACAGGCUUAACACAUGCAAGUCGAGGGGCAUCAGGAAGAAAGCUUGCUUUCUUUGCUGGCGACCGGCGCACGGGUGAGUAACACGUAUCCAACCUGCCCUUUACUCGGGGAUAGCCUUUCGAAAGAAAGAUUAAUACCCGAUAGCAUAAUGAUUCCGCAUGGUUUCAUUAUUAAAGGAUUCCGGUAAAGGAUGGGGAUGCGUUCCAUUAGGUUGUUGGUGAGGUAACGGCCCACCAAGCCUUCGAUGGAUAGGGGUUCUGAGAGGAAGGUCCCCCACAUUGGAACUGAGACACGGUCCAAACUCCCACGGGAGGCAGCAGUGAGGAAUAUUGGUCAAUGGGCGCUAGCCUGAACCAGCCAAGUAGCGUGAAGGAUGAAGGCUCUAUGGGUCGUAAACUUCUUUUAUAUAAGAAUAAAGUGCAGUAUGUAUACUGUUUUGUAUGUAUUAUAUGAAUAAGGAUCGGCUAACUCCGUGCCAGCAGCCGCGGUAAUACGGAGGAUUCGAGCGUUAUCCGGAUUUAUUGGGUUUAAAGGGAGCGUAGGUGGACUGGUAAGUCAGUUGUGAAAGUUUGCGGCUCAACCGUAAAAUUGCAGUUGAUACUGUCAGUCUUGAGUACAGUAGAGGUGGGCGGAAUUCGUGGUGUAGCGGUGAAAUGCUUAGAUAUCACGAAGAACUCCGAUUGCGAAGGCAGCUCACUGGACUGCAACUGACACUGAUGCUCGAAAGUGUGGGUAUCAAACAGGAUUAGAUACCCUGGUAGUCCACACAGUAAACGAUGAAUACUCGCUGUUUGCGAUAUACAGUAAGCGGCCAAGCGAAAGCAUUAAGUAUUCCACCUGGGGAGUACGCCGGCAACGGUGAAACUCAAAGGAAUUGACGGGGGCCCGCACAAGCGGAGGAACAUGUGGUUUAAUUCGAUGAUACGCGAGGAACCUUACCCGGGCUUAAAUUGCAGUGGAAUGAUGUGGAAACAUGUCAGUGAGCAAUCACCGCUGUGAAGGUGCUGCAUGGUUGUCGUCAGCUCGUGCCGUGAGGUGUCGGCUUAAGUGCCAUAACGAGCGCAACCCUUAUCUUUAGUUACUAACAGGUUAUGCUGAGGACUCUGGAGAGACUGCCGUCGUAAGAUGUGAGGAAGGUGGGGAUGACGUCAAAUCAGCACGGCCCUUACGUCCGGGGCUACACACGUGUUACAAUGGGGGGUACAGAAGGCAGCUAGCGGGUGACCGUAUGCUAAUCCCAAAAUCCUCUCUCAGUUCGGAUCGAAGUCUGCAACCCGACUUCGUGAAGCUGGAUUCGCUAGUAAUCGCGCAUCAGCCACGGCGCGGUGAAUACGUUCCCGGGCCUUGUACACACCGCCCGUCAAGCCAUGGGAGCCGGGGGUACCUGAAGUACGUAACCGAAAGGAUCGUCCUAGGGU